rnacentral:misc_RNA from 1 species
GAACAUCAAGUUCCAUCAGGUUUGUUACAGCCCAUAAACAUACCUGAAUGGAAAUGGGACCGAGUCACUAUGGACUUUGUCAGUGGUCUACCUCUCACUCAGAAGAAGCAUGAUGCAGUAUGGGUGAUUGUGGAUAGGUUGACCAAAUCAGCACAUUUUCUGCCAGUCAGAACUAACUACUCAUUGGAAAAGCUAGUAGAAUUGUACAUCAGUGAAAUAGUUAGACUACAUGGAAUUCCA